UGGGCAUGUUGAACGUGAGUGAGAACUUGUUCCUUUUCAAAAUGAAUUUUCCAAGCUCUGAUUUAAUUUUCUCUUUGAAUGCUUGUGCAAAACUCUGUGUGUGUGUGUGUGUGUGUGUGUGUGUGUGUGUGUGUGUUUCUCUAAUAAAGCUUUACUUAAACCAUAACCCAA